UAGGGAAUCUUCGGCAAUGGACGAAAGUCUGACCGAGCAACGCCGCGUGAGUGAAGAAGGUUUUCGGAUCGUAAAACUCUGUUGUUAGAGAAGAACAAGGACGUUAGUAACUGAACGUCCCCUGACGGUAUCUAACCAGAAAGCCACGGCUAACUACGUGCCAGCAGCCGCGGUAAUACGUAGGUGGCAAGCGUUGUCCGGAUUUAUUGGGCGUAAAGCGAGCGCAGGCGGUUUCUUAAGUCUGAUGUGAAAGCCCCCGGCUCAACCGGGGAGGGUCAUUGGAAACUGGGAGACUUGAGUGCAGAAGAGGAGAGUGGAAUUCCAUGUGUAGCGGUGAAAUGCGUAGAUAUAUGGAGGAACACCAGUGGCGAAGGCGGCUCUCUGGUCUGUAACCGACGCUGAGGCUCGAAAGCGUGGGGAGCAAACAGG
rnacentral:rRNA from 2 species